CUAAUCUUUUUGGAAUCAGUUCAGAAGAUUCAAAAAGAUUCGAAAAGAUUCAAAAUGAUUCGGCGGGAUUAAUAAAAAACGGGCGCCCGUCAGUCAUAUCAAAAUAACUGAUUCAUUUCGUUCAGUGUUUGUUUUGGUUUCGGACGACGCUAAUCGCUGAUCGGAGGGAUCGGAAAUUUUUCAUUAAUUUUAAUGAUCUUCAGUUUGAGUAGACCGGCGACCAAUUGAACGCAAUUAGUUUGCCGUCAGUGGUGCUUCGCGGCGACAAGGAUCUGUGUUGGUCCGUCCGUCGCGACCGAUUGCGCCGUCUCCACCAGCCGUUCGGAUCCGACAUUAGCAAGGUCACGAAUCCGAUAAAGUUCCAGGAAAGGCUUCCCGGAGUAUCCUCGACCUGUGAGGGUGUGACUGCCGCAGCCAUCAUGCAACAACGGAGAAUGCCAAAAAUGUGAAUCUUUGCAGUUGGUUGGACUCACCGUCCCUCAUGAAAGGCAGCUGAACACACAGUGCCGGCGCCUCCCUCUAUUUGGCUGAAAUAUCUGUCUGCUCAAGCUCUUGAAUUGAUUGGAAAGGCCGCCCGUGAUAACUAGAAGUCCAGAACCAUUUCACGUCACUUGUAGUUGGCCGUUUGAAAUUACGAGAAGCUGAAAAAUCUGCUGUCCGGAGUAAACCAUCGCUCAGGGUGCCAUGCUGUUACCAAGUCCGAGAUAAACAAGUAAAUCACCAGGAUAACAAGUGAGAGGUAAUUAAUCAAGAUGGACAGAGAUCUGAACUUCGAAAUAUAACUAAAUCAAGCAAGUAUCAAGUGAAUAAA